rnacentral:rRNA from 1 species
AACGAACGCUGGCGGCAGGCUUAACACAUGCAAGUCGAGCGAGACCUUCGGGUCUAGCGGCGGACGGGUGAGUAACGCGUGGGAACGUGCCCUUCUCUACGGAAUAGCCCCGGGAAACUGGGAGUAAUACCGUAUACGCUCUUUGGGGGAAAGAUUUAUCUGAGAAGGAUCGGCCCGCGUUGGAUUAGGUAGUUGGUGGGGUAAUGGCCCACCAAGCCGACGAUCCAUAGCUGGUUUGAGAGGAUGAUCAGCCACACUGGGACUGAGACACGGCCCAGACUCCUACGGGAGGCAGGAGUGGGGGAUCUUAGACAAUGGGGGCAACCCUGAUCUAGCCAUGCCGGGUGAGUGAUGAAGGCCUUAGGGUUGUAAAGCUCUUUCAGCUGGGAAGAUAAUGACGGUACCAGCAGAAGAAGCCCCGGCUAACUCCGUG